GACGAACGCUGGCGGCGUGCUUAACACAUGCAAGUCGAACGGAAAGGCCCUGCUUUUGUGGGGUGCUCGAGCGGCGAACGGGUGAGUAACACGUGAGUAACCUGCCCUUGACUUUGGGAUAACUUCAGGAAACUGGGGCUAAUACCGGAUAGGAGCUCCUGCUGCAUGGUGGGGGUUGGAAAGUUUCGGCGGUUGGGGAUGGACUCGCGGCUUAUCAGCUUGUUGGUGGGGUAGUGGCUACCAAGGCUUUGACGGGUAGCCGGCCUGAGAGGGUGACCGGCCACAUUGGGACUGAGAUACGGCCCAGACUCCUACGGGAGGCAGCAGUGGGGAAUAUUGCACAAUGGGCGGAAGCCUGAUGCAGCAACGCCGCGUGCGGGAUGACGGCCUUCGGGUUGUAAACCGCUUUCGCCUGUGACGAAGCGUGAGUGACGGUAAUGGGUAAAGAAGCACCGGCUAACUACGUG
rnacentral:rRNA from 1 species